rnacentral:rRNA from 1 species
CGGGGUGAGUAAUGUCUGGGAAACUGCCUGAUGGAGGGGGAUAACUACUGGAAACGGUAGCUAAUACCGCAUAACGUCUUCGGACCAAAGUGGGGGACCUUCGGGCCUCACGCCAUCGGAUGUGCCCAGAUGGGAUUAGCUGGUAGGUGGGGUAAUGGCUCACCUAGGCGACGAUCCCUAGCUGGUCUGAGAGGAUGACCAGCCACACUGGAACUGAGACACGGUCCAG